rnacentral:lncRNA from 11 species
AGAGAUACCAAAUAACCUGUCAAAAGGAACAUUUACACACAGGAAAACCACACCUACAUACUAGAUGUGCUGGAGUUGUGUGGUUUUGUCAUUGCUAUUUAUUGGAGUGAGCCUGGGAAAAUCACAAGAAGGGAAAGGUAAGCCUCUUCUGGACAAAUCAUGCCAAGAAAACCC